rnacentral:rRNA from 1 species
GAUGAACGCUGGCGGCGUGCAUAACACAUUCAAGUCGAACGGAGUUAACGGAGAGCUUGUUUGAAGUUAACUUAGUGGCGGACGGGUGAGUAACGCGUGAGCAACCUGCCUUUGUGAGGGGGAUAACGACCGGAAACAGUCGCUAAUACCGCAUGAAGCAACGAAACCGCAUGGUUUUGUUGCCAAAGAUUUAUCGCACAAAGAUGGGCUCGCGUCUGAUUAGAUAGUUGGCAGGGUAACGGCCUACCAAGUCGACGAUCAGUAGCCGGACUGAGAGGUUGAACGGCCACAUUGGAACUGAGAAACGGUCCAGACUCCUACGGGAGGCAGCAGUGGGGAAUAUUGGGCAAUGGGGGAAACCCUGACCCAGCAACGCCGCGUGAAGGAAGAAGGCCUUCGGGUUGUAAACUUCUUUUAGCAGGGACGAAUUCGUGACGGUACCUGCAGAAAAAGCAACGGCUAACUACGUG